rnacentral:rRNA from 1 species
GAUGAACGCUGACAGAAUGCUUAACACAUGCAAGUCGAUGGGGAAGUGGUGCUUGCACCAUGGCAACCAUGGCGGACGGGUGAGUAACGCGUAAGGGACUUACCUGCAGGACUGGGAUAACAGGGGGAAACUCCUGACAAGACCGGAUAAUGUCAUGGAGCUGCAUGGCUUUAUGAUGAAAGGAGACGCCUGCGGAGAGCCUUGCGUCCUAUUAGCUAGUUGGUGAGGUAAUGGCUCACCAAGGCGAAGAUAGGUAGCCGGCCUGAGAGGGUGGACGGCCACAAGGGGACUGAGAGACGGCCCUUACGCCUACGGGAGGCAGCAGUGGGGAAUAUUGGACAAUGGGGGCAACCCUGAUCCAGCAAUUCUGUGUGCACGAAGAAGGUUUUCGGAUUGUAAAGUGCUUUCAGCAGGGAAGAAGUAAGUGACGGUACCUGCAGAAGAAGCGACGGCUAAAUACGUG